CCCGCCGAAUUUAAGCAUAUAAGUAAGCGGAGGAGAAUGAAGGAACUAAGCCGGAUUCCCAAAGUAAUGGCGAACGAACAGGGA
rnacentral:ncRNA from 1 species